rnacentral:rRNA from 1 species
AACGAACGCUGGCGGCAGGCUUAACACAUGCAAGUCGAGCGCCCCGCAAGGGGAGCGGCAGGCGGGUGAGUAACGCGUGGGAAUCUACCCAUCUCUACGGAAUAACGCAUGGAAACGUGUGCUAAUACCGUAUACGUCCUUCGGGAGAAAGAUUUAUCGGAGAUGGAUGAGCCCGCGUUGGAUUAGCUAGUUGGUGGGGUAAAGGCCUACCAAGGCGACGAUCCAUAGCUGGUCUGAGAGGAUGAUCAGCCACACUGGGACUGAGACACGGCCCAGACUCCUACGGGAGGCAGCAGUGGGGAAUAGUGGACAAUGGGAGCAAGCCUGAUCCAGCCAUGCCGCGUGAGUGAUGAAGGCCCUAGGGUUGUAAAGCUCUUUCACCGGUGAAGAUAAUGACGGUAACCGGAGAAGAAGCCCCGGCUAACUUCGUGCCAGCCGCCGCAGUAAUAC